UUCCUCCCUCUCUCUCUCUCUCUUCCUUCACUAGUCGCUGAGAGACAACGCUAAAACGUUGGUAGACCCAAUCCACCUUCGCAAGCUGGACUGGAGCAGCAUGUUUCAGAUGGUUCACUCUUAACUGCUGCUCCCCCUCUCCAGGGCAGCUGUGCCACCACCCAAUUCCUGUAAUGAGGUCACAGACCCUUGUACCACCAUUUUCUUGGUAUCAAUGUGAUGGAAAAAAGAUGGAAUGUCAGCUGUGAAAAGAGGUGGACUUGAAGCCAUGAGCAACCAACAGACAAGCAAGAACUUAAACUUCAGUGGGAAAGAGGCUGGUGAGUGUAAUGUGAUGAAAGAGGGAGAGAGCAAUCAAAUAAAGAGGAGCUGGAGUAUGGAUCGGCUCUACCAUUUCAUUGGUUCUCAAGAGCAAGAAGGAAGCUGGACUAGACAUUUUUACAUCAAAAUGUUUUUGUACAUUUUUAGAUUUGUUGUAUUGCAUCACUUAUACUGAACAAAAACAAAAAUGCAACACUCUCAGUUUUGUCCUCAUUUUGCAGAAAUGUUAUGUCCAGGAUUUUUCCUAGAAAUGUCUCACUCCUACUGGCAAAUGGUGGUCAUACCAGAUACUAAUGUGGGAAUUCUGUUUCUGAGCCCACUCUGUUUUUUGCAGUAUUUCAGCAAAGUCCUUUAUAUACCCUCCAAGCCAGCUCACGACAUAUGACAUCAGAGCUACACGCUGCCACCAUCGAAAGUAGGAAGUGGUUAUAAUAAUGUGACUCGACUGUGUAUAAACUACAUAGAUUACUACUGUAGGUGGGUUUAGAAACCCACCUCUAGCCAAAGUGGGACCCAAUGUAAAUCUCAGAAAGAGCCCAUGUUUAACACCUUAUAUGAUAAAUCAUGUGUUUAAAAUCAUUAGCAACAGCAGUUUAUCUAGUUUUAUAUUUGUUUACUGUGAAAAUUCUCUAAUCAUAUUUAUUAAUUCAUACAGAAUCAGAAAAUGUAGCUGUUUAUCAAUUUAAAGUGUGAAACUGUCUCUCAUACACAGCUGGUUUGAUCUCAUGUGUACGUGUUUUAUAAAGGCACACUGAGUGGGUUGGACAUACACAAUCACUUUUAUGCCAUUGAAUUCUUCAGUAUAAUUUUUUGACAUUUUUAUCAUCUCUAAUUUAAAAUAUAAUCUCUGAAAAGUUAUGUUCUGAACCCACUUGUAACAGUAACAGCUUCAAGGAAGAUGUCAGAUUUAGCCUGUAUUUCAGUGGCCUCUCGUCUCAAUUCAAGAGUUUUUCAUCCACCAUAGUUCAAACUUUGCAUAUAAAUAUUGUGAAAAUGAUAUUUAUGAAUGUGGAAAACACAGUACUGUUUGACUCAGGGCAUGCGGUCUGCCGAAUGGCCAGCUGCAUAUGCCCUUGAAGAGGCUCACACAAAUGUCGCAGACAGUGACCUGUCACAAAGAUGAAGCCUUUUUUCCUUCAUUUAUUUGCUUACUACUUUUUAUUUAUUGAACCAAA